UUCCUGUCCGGGUAGGAAGGCUCCUUGGGGCAAGUUCCAGUCUGAUGAUCUAGGCUGUUCCCUGUCUCCUUUUUCCCCUGAUCCACCUCCGGGCAUCCCUGGAGCGGAGGGCUCAUUCCUGGUUCCUUGGGUUCCUGCUGACUCCCCAAGAUGACCCCAGGAGACCAAGCGAUUGUGGGCAAGCCCCAACCACCUGGGCCCCAGGAUUUCCAGUGUGCAAACCUGAUGUGAUCUCCCAGCUAGAGCGAGGGGAAGAGCCGUGGGUUCUGAACUUACAGAGGGCAGAAGAGACAGAUAUUCUGAGAGGCAGCUGCUCAGUGAAAUAUAUGGCAAAGUUCUUGUCUGGAGAAGUAGAGGAGGAAGUCAUGGGAGGCUUGAGGAGGAAUGAAGAGAUUUGGAAAAGACACUGUGGAUUCUAUGAAGCUCCAGCUCCUCUCCUCACUUCUCUCCCAAGCUCAGAAGCCCUGUCCCUUCAGUGCUGUCCUUAUUCAAGAACCCAGGAGGCUGGGACUUGAGAUAUGGAUGAGGAAGUGAGAUGAACAGACAGAGGCAUUGGCUAUGUGGGUUUGGACAACUGCCAGGACUGAGUGCAUUCCCAUUUAAGGAGCCAAGAGGACAGGAUCCUGCCUGGACACUCAGUGGAAGCAUCAAGCACCAGUCAUAAAGUGU